GGUGCUAUGAUGAGAUUAACACCAGUGGGUGUUUUGGGGCAGUGGACACGACUUUCAUGGUCUUGCCGUGAGCCCUUCUUACAAAACGACUUCUCCUUCCACUGAGCGCC